rnacentral:lncRNA from 1 species
CUAGAGAGCAGCAAUCAGGAGCACAACACAGUAAUUCUCAUUUACAAUUUUUUUCAUAUUCUUCUGCAGAUUUUCCAUGAGAUGGGAGAGCAGUUCAGAAGCUGUGGAUCUGCUGCUGCUGCUGCAGAAGACUACUUCACAAGAAGAUAAGCUUUGAGCCUUCAGAGAUUUGUAGCCAUUCAUGUUUAAGAAUUUUAAACAAGAAGAAUGAAGGGAUGGAAAUAAACAACUUUACAACAAUAUUAGACAAAACAGAGCACCUGAGCUCUGGGGUGAUGUUCACUGAAAUGAAAGUCAUCAGCUUUUCAAGGCAAGAACAGCUAUACCUGUCACAGAGAAACACAAGUUCACUGAUGCUUUCAGUCUUUGGACCUCCACUGAUCCAAUUGUUUAUGCCACACUAGUCAGAUCACUGAGACUGUCCUGAUGUCACAAGCUAUUCAAGAGUGGAAAAUUAAUUUUAAAAUUUUAAAUUUAAAAAUUUAAAAACUGCUGAUGAGUUGAACAUUAUCAGUUUUAGGGCAGAUUUUGUACUGCCCUGCACCUGCGUAGUCCUUUAUGCUGACACAAUGUGAAACUCACAUGCUUUCAAGUAAAGCCUGAUGUAAAUGAGAACACAGACUAAUGGAGAAUUAUUGUGGCUUUUUUGUCAAGGCUUUUUUGUGCCUUAGUUACCUCUGUGAGCAAAACUAGCAAUAGGCAAAAAACCCCUCAACACACCCAAAAAACCCCAAAGCCAAACCAAAACAAAAUAGCCUAAAACAAAAUAAAACCCCCAAACCUGAAGAAACUGCA